ACGAUCCGGAAGGCCGGUGACUCUAAGGGUGUGGCCUCCGGGGGGAUUCUGGAAGCGGUGUGAGUGGCACCCCGGCGCCUGGUCUGGGCACAGCUCGGGGAGGUUAGAAAGGCCUGGUGAGUGUGGAGCACGUCCUGCCGCCCGCCCGUGGGCCCUGGCAGAGGGCACGGCGGGGCUGGGUUCUCUGGAGCUCAGACACUAAGAAGACGUUUCCUCCUGAGGACACGUCCUGAGACACUGAGAGGUCCAAGGGCUGGGGCAUUUCAGGCCGGCGGCUCGCUGGAUGGACCCCCUGGGGCUCACGCGGCCUCUGGGACUCUUGAACUGGGCGCUGCACCCACAGGGAGGCGUGCGUGCGAGCAGCGCCCAGAGCUGGGAGCCGGCUCGGAAGGGCCUAGUAGUGUAUAAGGCACCAAGCUGAGAAUCGGGCUUAGAUCUAAAAAUAAAUAAAUAAAUAACCCCUUUUUAGUCCUAAAUUUCUUUUCCCUGGAAAAUUUGCCAAUUACAUGAUAAUCAUUUUAUUAAAAUCCCUUUAAAAUUGUAAUGAAAUGUUAUUUAUUCUAAUUGUUACAUUUUAGAAGCCAUUCUUUUGUAUUCUGUGUGUUUUAAAGCAGAAUCCUGAAGUGCUUGAAAAUUCCAACCCGCAGCGCACAGCUCAGAGGUAAACCACAAGCCUAGUCUUUCACGGCCGCAUGCAAGCACCAGAUGUAUACACAACCGGUAGUGCAGUCUACACCGCUGGCCAGCAGAUGGGCUCAAGAAAAACUGUCCAAGAAAAUCUGCAUAUAAGAAACGGAAACUCAAGUCAUCUUUAAUGCUUAUGUCCCACUGCUUGCUCUUCCUGCUGUGCUUUUAAAAGUACUCAGCCUCUGGAUUCAACGUUCCCGAAUGCGCUACAGAAACAUUCCCAAGCAGAUGGGCACAGAUGGGUGUGAAGGGGACGCUCCUGCCUCCUCCUCCAGCAUCUCACACUCUAACCAGCCCACGCGUUUCAGCAGGUGCUGCACUGGCUCCCCACUCACCAGAGGCCCCACAGUGUUGCUUCAUCAAAGCUGCCCCCUGUCUGUCACACCCACAAACGGGUGUCACCCACACAGCCUUUCUCUUUGCACCAUUUACACACGAAGAGGCGAUGGAAUCCAUAUGUCACCCCAACACAUGUAGAAUGAGGAACAAAUAAAAACCAGCUGAUUUUCAAUCUUCCUGGGUGGGGCUC